GUAGCAAGGUUAAGGCAGUUAUAGCUGGAGCCGUAGCGAAAGCGAGUCUGAAUAGGGCGAUAGUUAUUAUUAAUAGACCCGAAGCGGUAUGAGCUAGACAUGGGCAGGUUGAAGGCAUAGGAAACUAUGCUGGAGGACCGAACGGGUUGGUGCUGCAAAACCUUCCGAUGACCUGUGUUUAGGAGUGAAAAGCUCAUCGAAUACCGUGAUAGCUGGUUCUCUCCGAAAUGCAUUUAGGUGCAGCCUGUAUUUUAAGGUCUUGAAGAGGUAGAGCUCUGGAAAGGCUAGGGGGAUCGAGAGAUCUUACCAAACCUUACUAAACUUCGAAUGCUUCAAGGAAUAAUACAGAGUGGGACUGCGGGAGCAAGUUUCGUAGUCAAAAGGAUAACAGUCCAGACUUCUGAUUAAGGUCCCUAAAGUAAUGCUAAGUGGAAAAAGAGGUGUCUUUACUUAUACAUCCAGGAGGUUUGCCUAGAAGCAGCAAUCCUUUAAAGAAAGCGUAACAGCUCACUGGACUAGUGAAGAUGCGCUGAAGAUGUAACGGGGCUAAGCAUUAUACCGAAAUCGAAGACCAGUGUAGUAAUACACUGUGUGGUAGGAGAGUGUUCUUACAGGAUGAAGCUACAUCGUGAGGUGUGGUCGACUAGUAAGAAGUAAAAAUGCUGACAUGAGUAACGCUUAUUGAUGAAAAUUCAAUAUAUCGAAACCCUAAGGAUUCCUACGCAACGUUCAUCGUCGUAGGGUUAGUCGGGACCUAAGGCUUAUCCAGAAAUGGAGAGUCGAUGGAUAACUGGUUAAUAUUCCAGUACUUAUAUAUAGAGUGAUGGGGUGACGCAUUGAGAUUUGUGAGAGCUUAUUAAGGAUUUAAGUCGAAAGAACAAGGUUUUUAUAGCAUUAGCUAUAAAGGUAGUUGCAGGAAAAUCCACAGCUAUUGAUACUGAGUUUGAUCGGGAUUCAAUUCCUCGGAAUUGGAAAUUCUCAUCGUUUUGGUGCCGAGAAAAACCUCUAAACUUAAUCUAUAUGUAACCCGUACCCAGAUCAGACACUUGUGGGGUGGUAGAGAAUACUAAGAUAAUCGAGAUAACUAAUGGGUAAGGAACUUGGCAAAUUAGCGGACGUACUUUCGAAAUAAGUCCUGUCCCGAGCAAUCGGGAUCGCAGCGAAAGAGAUGGGGGGAACUGUUUAUCAAAAACACAGCUCGCUGCUAACUCGUAAGAGGAUGUAUAGCGGGUGAUGCCUGUCCAAUGCCAGAAUGUUAUGCUCUCUUGUGCAAGCUCGAGGGUUAAGCACUGGUGAAUGACGGCCGUAACUAUGACGGUCCUAAGGUAGCGAAAUUCCUUGUCAGGUAAGUUCUGACGCGCAUGAAUGGCAUAAUCAUCCCCAUGCUGUCUUACCCUUAGACUCGGUGAAAUUACAUUCCCGGUAAAAAUGCCGGGUAGUCACAGUUAGACGGAAAGACCCUGUGAAGCUUUACUGUAGAUUGAUAUUGGAUUGUAGCAUGUUUUGCUCAGUAUAGGUGGGAGGCUUUGAUGUUUCGACUUCGGUUGGGGCGGAGCCAAUAGUGAGAUACCACCCAAAAUAUGUAGCAAUUCUAAUCCCUAGGUUGGGAGACAGUUUCAGUUGGACAGUUUACCUGGGGCGGGUGCCUCCUAAAAAGUAGCGGAGGCGUGCAAAGGUUUGCUUACUACGGAUGGAAACCGUGGUGAAUGUGUAUUCGCAUAAGCAAGCUUGACUGUGAGACUGACAGGUCGAACAGAUACGAAAGUAGGCGAAAGUGAUCCGGAUCUUCCGAGUGGAAGGGGAUCCGCUCAACGGAUAAAAGUUACUCCGGGGAUAACAGGCUAAUGGAAUCUAAGCGUUCACAGCGACGAUUCCGUUUGGCACCUCGAUGUCGACUCGUCGCAUCCUGGGGCUGGAGAAGGUCCCAAGGGUUGGGUUGUUCACCCAUUAAAGCGGGACGC
rnacentral:rRNA from 1 species